rnacentral:rRNA from 1 species
UACAGAGGGGGCGAGCGUUGUUCGGAAUUACUGGGUGUAAAGGGCGCGUAGGCGGCCCGCUAAGUCGAACGUGAAAUCCCCAGGCUCAACCUGGGAACUGCGUCCGAUACUGGCAGGCUUGAAUCCGGGAGAGGGAUGUGGAAUUCCAGGUGUAGCGGUGAAAUGCGUAGAGAUCCGGAGGAACACCAGCGGCGAAGGCGGCAUCCUGGACUGGUCCUGACACUCAGGAGCGAAAGCGUGGGGAGCGAUCCGG